rnacentral:rRNA from 1 species
UCGGGAAUUUUGGGCAAUGGGCGAAAGCCUGACCCAGCAACGCCGCGUGAAGGAUGAAGUAUUUCGGUAUGUAAACUUCGAAAGAAUAGGAAGAAUAAAUGACGGUACUAUUUGUAAGGUCCGGCUAACUACGUGCCAGCAGCCGCGGUAAUACGUAGGGACCAAGCGUUGUUCGGAUUUACUGGGCGUAAAGGGCGCGUAGGCGGUGUGUCAAGUCAGUUGUGAAAUCUCCGAGCUUAACUCGGAACGGUCAACUGAUACUGUCACACUAGAGUACAGAAGGGGCAAUCGGAAUUCUUGGUGUAGCGGUGAAAUGCGUAGAUAUCAAGAGGAACACCUGAGGCGAAGGCGGGUUGCUGGGCUGAUACUGACGCUGAGGCGCGAAAGCUAGGGUAGCAAACGGGAUUAGAUACCCACGUAGUCCCUGAGCGGGCUGGCAAGGCGCAU